rnacentral:lncRNA from 1 species
AACAAUAUAGAGAAAAUCAUCACUAAACAAAAAAAUAAAAAAAAUGGUGAAAGACAGGACAAUUGGUGUGGCAAUGGAUUUCUCAAAGAGUAGCAAAACAGCUUUGAAAUGGGCAAUUGAUAACUUGGCUGAUAAAGAUGAUACUUUUUAUAUCAUUCACAUCAAGACUCAUUCUUCUGAUGAGUCACGUAAUAAGUUAUGGGCUCAAUCUGGUUCACGUAAGUUGCACAUUCAACCUUUUUUUUUUAACUGAUUUAACUUGUAUACACUGACAGUCUGUAACAAUUAAUUGAUCUUGUCUAUUAGCUUUGAUUCCGUUGGCGGAGUUUAGGGAGCCAGAAGUAUUAGAGAAAUAUGGUGUGGAGAUUGAUAUUGAACUUCUUGAUAUGCUUGAUACUGCUUCUAGGCAGAAAGAGGUUAUUAUACAUCUUAUCAACAAAAAAAAAAUCAUUUUUUUUUGAUAAUUUUAGUUUUGUUUAAUUUUUUUUAUUGAUUAUUGUAUAGAUAAAAGUUGUGACCAAACUAUAUUGGGGAGAUGCAAGGGAGAGAUUGUGUGAAGCUGUUGAAGAUCUGAAGUUGAAUUGUUUGGUUAUGGGUAGUAGAGGCCUUACUACCCUCCAAAGGUACCUCUUUAAUUAAUUCCUCUCUUCAUAAUUUCAACUCUUUUUAAAAAAAUUAAAAUUUACUUGAUAAAAUUUAAACUUUGCUUAUGUAAGCUUGCUCAUAUUAUUGAUUUUAAAUCUAAAUAAAAAAGAAGAAUGGUCGAGAAUCAAUAGGAAACAAUCUAUCAACCCUAUGGGGUGGGGGUGGGGGGUUAGGUGGAAGCAAAACAGAAAAAAAAUGUAUCAAUUGAUCUGUAUUUCUUUAGCAAUUAAGAAAAAUAUGCAUUUCCUUAAGAUAAAUAAGUAGGAAUUCAACCAAGCACACCAUUCAGGACUUUUGUAGCAUGUGAUAGAAAAUAUGUAUAUAAAAUAUUUAGUUUGUUGGAGAGAUCUUGAAUUUAUGUGUAUCGCAUAAAUUUGCUUUUAAUUCGAUAAAAUUCAUUUAUAUGAUUACACUGAAUUUGUUUGUUGGUAUGGUUACUUGGUAAAAUUUGGACCUUUGUCUGUUUCCUCAUUCAAGUAAAUAUGCCUUGCCAUUAAUAUUUUAAUUUCUUGGUUAAAACAGGAUAUUUAUGGGAAGUGUGACCAACUAUGUAAUGUCUCAUGCAACCUGUCCUGUCACUGUAGUCAAGGAUCCUGAUUUCCACAAGCACUGAUUAAGAGUUAUGGAUUAAAUAAAGAUGAUAGCUGUAAAAUGUUUUUAUUUUUCUAUUGUUUCUAAUUUCAAUAACUAAUGGAAAAUUGAUGACUUGUUCUUAUUCGUUUGAUCUAUUUUAUCUUUAGUUCUAUCUUGUUUGUAGUCGUGUGAGAUGAAAGUCUCAUAUUGAGUUUUGAAUUCUCUUCAAAAGUGGCAACUUCAACUUUAACCAUUCAAUUUUUUCGAUAUUCUCAUCAAAUAGAUGACAUUUAAAAAAAAUAAUCUUGCUCUUCUUAGUAUGAUGUUCAAAAAUCUACAAGAAGAAACUAUGAAGGCUCUUUUCCAAUAUAAUUGUUUGAUACUAACGUAGUAUUGAUGUAUGCAUAUCAAAUGAAAUGAUCAAGAUGCAUGUUAGGUGACUCAUACGCUAUAGCUUAAAACUUCUUUACUUGCCAAUCGAAAAAAAUAUUAUCAUAAUUAACAAAAUAACAAACAUUAUUCAUUAAGGAACAUUUAUAACUCGAACAUUAAAACUUAUACACACUUGUUUACACUAUUUUUUUAAAAUUUAAUUAAAAUUAUUUUAUAUUUAACAUCAAUAUAUUACUUAACAAUGUUUAACUAAUGUGAUUUGAUAUUAGAGACGGAUUUAGAAUUUGAAGCUCACAAAUACGAAUUCAAUAUUUUAUCACAACUUAUUUAAUUUAAUGGAACCAAAUAUAUUAUAUUUACUUGAAGAAUAAGCUUUAUAGCACAUGUACUUUGUGUCAAAAGUUCAUCGAUUUGAAUAAACCUAUAUAAAUUGUUAAUUAAAUAGUUAAUGGCAAUGCUCAAAUUCUAUACAUAUACAGUUACAAAAUUUCUAAUUAAUUCUAAAUAUUUAAUAAUAAACAUAAUUAUUAUAAUACAUAUAUAUUAAUUUAAAAUAACUAUAAAAAAAUUUAUUUUUACCCCUCCCCCCCCCNNNNNNNNNNNNNNNNNNNNNNNNNNNNNNNNNNNNNNNNNNNNNNNNNNNNNNNNNNNNNNNNNNNNNNNNNNNNNNNCACACACUCAGGUCCAAACAGCUAUAGGAAUAAAUAUCUUUCAACAACCAGGACAAUAAUUUGUCCAUCCAUAAACUUUUGGGUACGCGACACUAAAAUAUUUUGAACCGUAAAUUACAUAUAAUAUUGAAUAUAUAUAUUUUAAAUAAAAACAACAUUUUUUCUAUUUUUAUAAUAAAUAUAGUCGAAUAUUAUAUUUAAAGAUUUUAUGUCAGAAUUUAUUGAUUGAUAAAGUAAAAUAUGCUAUAUGUGUGACUCUAAAAAUUCAAACCGUGUUACAUAAAUUGAAAAAAAGUAGGAUUAUCUUUUUUGCGUUAACGCGUAUCUUAUACUUGUUUGCUUUUAGUUUUCACACACAAUAAGGUGCUCUGUAUCUCUUUUUACUCCUUUUUAAUUAAAGUAUACUACAAAAACAGAGAAGAAGAAGAAGAAAAAUCAAGAAGCAAAAAUGGUGAAAGACAGGACAAUUGGUGUUGCAAUGGAUUUUUCAAAGAGCAGCAAAACAGCUUUGAAAUGGGCAAUUGAUAACUUGGCUGAUAAAGAUGAUACUUUUUACAUCAUUCACAUCAAGACUCAUUCUUCUGAUGAGUCACGUAAUAAGUUAUGGGC